ensembl:misc_RNA 7SK 7SK RNA
GGAUGUGAGGGCGAUCUGGCUGUAACAUUUGUCACCUCAUUGAUCUCCAGGGUUGAUUCCACUGAUCUGGGUGGCUAGGCGAGUGUCCCCUUCCUCCCUCACCACUGCGUGCGUGUCCCUCCUGAAGCUGCGCGCUCGGUGGAACAGCACGACUUUCCUUGAUGGAGGAGAGGGCCGUUCUUCGGUCAGAGGAAUAUGAGUAGCUGCACUCCCCUGCUAGAACCUCCACACAAGCUCACAAGAAACUCUGCCUUUGGAGAAUCAGCUAAGACGUCAAAUAGGUUCCAUUCGAGCUCGGUCUUG